CCCCAGACUCCUACGGGAGGCAGCAGUGGGGGAUAUUGGACAAUGGGGGGAACCCUGAUCCAGCGACGCCGCGUGAGUGAAGAAGUAUUUCGGUAUGUAAAGCCCUAUCAGCAGGGAAGAAAGAAGACGGUACCUGACUAAGAAGCCCCGGCUAACUACGUGCCAGCAGCCGCGGUAAUACGUAGGGGGCGAGCGUUAUCCGGAUUCACUGGGUGUAAAGGGAGCGUAGACGGCCGUGCAAGCCAGGAGUGAAAGCCCGGGGCCCAACCCCGGGACUGCUCUUGGAACUGUGCGGCUGGAGUGCGGGAGGGGCAGGCGGAAUUCCUGGUGUAGCGGUGAAAUGCGUAGAUAUCAGGAGGAACACCGGCGGCGAAGGCGGCCUGCUGGACCGCGACUGACGUUGAGGCUCGAAAGCGUGGGGAGCGAACAGGAUUAGAUACCCUCGUA
rnacentral:rRNA from 1 species